CCCUAAUUUUCAACCCAGCCGUUCUCUCUCUCUCUCUCUCUCUCGUCCCUGAGCUCAACUCCUCGCCUCCUCCCUAACCCUUUCGAUGGGAUCCACGGCUCGGUGUGGGAUUUGGUGAGGGGAAGGUAUGCGGAUUAUAGAGAGAGAGAGAGAGAGAGAGAGAGAGAGAGAGAGAGAAAGAGAGAGAGAGCGGGGGAUUCGGUGAAGGGAAGGCAUGCGGCUUGCAGAGAGGAGGGAGGGAGGGAGGGAGGAGAAGACGAAAAGCAACUGCAGCAAGUUCAUGGACAGGGUCACAGCAAUGAAGACCCCUCGGCAGCAGAUUCAAGUCAAUCUGGGUAAAGUCAUGGCCUUCAACCCUCAUUAAAGCUUCCCUUUCAGCCCCUUCUCCAGGGAUGUCUUAUAUGGUGAAGUGUUCAAAAUCCUUCUGCUAAUUGAUUUAAUAGGUUGAAUCUGUAUCCAAGGAUUCCUUCCAAUAUGGUCUAAACUAUUUUGUUUAAUUAACGAAAACAGUUCACUUCUCUCUAUGGUGUUCCCUUAGAGUUUAUGUUUAUCGUGGAAAGCACAGAAGACCCUGCUUAUCGGGCUGUAUCUAUGCUACUAUCAGAGCUUAAGAUUGGGGACGAGGAAGAUGAAUCAAGGUUGUUUCCAACCUGGGCCGAGAAGAAUGGAAGCCUUGCAAGGUUGUGGGUGAAACUAAGUGGGAAAACUAUCAAGCUCGACGAUGUUACUUUCCAUCAAUGUGUAAACUUGACGAGGUUUAACUCAGAGAAGACAGUUAGUUUUGUGCCACCUGAUGGUGAAUUUGAAUUGAUGAAGAUUUAGUGGGAUGCCACAACGUGGGAAAACUUGUUUUUAUAAUGAGGCUCGCCAUUUAACCGUGUCCGUGAUUGCAAAGAGCUUCAAUAUGCAAAUCUCAUAUCAUAUGAUGUUCGGAUUAUACUUCUAUGUUGUUGGUGGACCAGUUGGUUUUAUGACGCAUGACUCCGCUCCAUCAUUUUUUCAUCUUUUGACACAAGAACUUUGUUGGUUGAUGAAGUUAUCAACCAACAAUAAGUCCUAAACAGCUGUUAUAGUGUUCUACUCAACCUUAUGAACUCUUCACCACUACCAUCUCUGCAGUAACCAAUCUUGUACAUGUGUAAUAGAUCUGUUUUUGGGUCAUUGCUGAUGGUUGUAGAUGAUUUCAGGCUCCCAACAACACGGAGCUUCUGGGAGCGCGAAGUUUGUUAUUAAGGCCACAGGUGGUGGGGGAUUCAAGUACGCAUAUCUUUUUAAAUAAAAGCUUGGGAUUUCUCUUGACAAGGCAGAUGAAAUGGACUGUCUUGUGGCCGGAGCAAAUUUUCUGCUUAAGUUCAGUGGUGGUUAUCUUUUUGGGCUACCUGUUGGCUUUGUUGCUGAUUCAAUUGGAGCCACUUUAGGUGCAGGGGCUGCUUUUCUUCUCGGAAGAACUAAGGAAAUUUAUUAAUAACACACUACAAAGCAGUCCCCAAAGUACAACAAACAGAGCUAGAGUCCUAACUAGCCAGGCCAAAUAGCAGCAGCAACAUGAGAGUCUUCAUGGCUGAUAUUAUGACUGCAAACCUCUUGAAAUACUACAUUUCCCAGCAAAUGAUCACAUUCAAGUUAUUGACAUGAUUAAGCUCUUUGGAAACAAAGUGUUCAAACACUUUUCAAAGUUUGAGUCCCAACAUUUGUUCAAAAUUGUAUAAAAGAUCAGUUAUGCAAAUUUGUAGUAUAUUCUUAUAUCAAAGAUAUUACAAUUUGUUUCCUCACCCAAAAAAAAAAAAGGAAAUAUUAUAUUCAAA